rnacentral:SRP_RNA from 11 species
GCUCCGGAAGUGGAGGCCACUGGAGUAACCGUUGCUGUGAAAAAGAUGGGGGCGCCCAAGUGGUCAGUCGUGGACGGGAGCAGCCGCAAGCUGAUCACAGGCAGGGGCCAGGGGUGGACCCCGCUGGAGAU